UACGAAGGGGGCUAGCGUUGCUCGGAAUUACUGGGCGUAAAGCGCACGUAGGCGGAUUGUUAAGUCGGGGGUGAAAUCCUGGAGCUCAACUCCAGAACUGCCUUUGAUACUGAGAGUCUUGAGUUCGGGAGAGGUGAGUGGAACUGCGAGUGUAGAGGUGAAAUUCGUAGAUAUUCGCAAGAACACCAGUGGCGAAGGCGGCUCACUGGCCCGAUACUGACGCUGAGGCACGAAAGCGUGGGGAG
rnacentral:rRNA from 1 species